UUAUAAGAGACAGCAGUCGCCGCGGUAAUACGAAGGGGGCUAGCGUUGUUCGGAUUUACUGGGCGUAAAGGGUGCGUAGGCGGAUUGUUAAGUCAGAGGUGAAAUCCCGAGGCUCAACCUCGGAACUGCCUUUGAUACUGGCGAUCUUGAGUCCGGGAGAGGUGAGUGGAACUGCGAGUGUAGAGGUGAAAUUCGUAGAUAUUCGCAAGAACACCGGUGGCGAAGGCGGCUCACUGGCCCGGAACUGACGCUGAGGCACGAAAGCGUGGGGAGCAAACAGGAUUAGAUACCCCCGUAGUCCCUGUCUCUUAUAC
rnacentral:rRNA from 1 species